rnacentral:rRNA from 1 species
AGAGUUUGAUCCUGGCUCAGGAUGAACGCUGGCGGCGUGCUUAAUGCAUGCAAGUCGAACGAGAACCUCUUGAUAGGUAACUAUCGAGGGACUUCUAGUGGCGAACGGGUGAGUAACACGUGAGAAACCUGCCCCAAAGACCGGGAUAGCCCAUGGAAACGUGGAUUAAUACCGGAUGCCCUCACGGAAUCGCAUGGUUCUGUGAGGAAAGGCUCCGGCGCUUUGGGAUGGUCUCGCGGCCUAUCAGCUUGUUGGUGAGGUAACGGCUCACCAAGGCACUGACGGGUAGCUGGUCUGAGAGGACGAUCAGCCACACUGGGACUGAGACACGGCCCAGACUCCUACGGGAGGCAGCAGCAGGGAAUAUUGCACAAUGGGCGCAAGCCUGAUGCAGCGACGCCGCGUGAGGGAUGAAGGCUUUCGGGUUGUAAACCUCUUUCAGUGGGGAAGAAGCGCAAGUGACGGUACCCACACAAGAAGGCCCGGCCAACUACGUGCCAGCAGCCGCGGUAAUACGUAGGGGCCAAGCGUUAUCCGGAUUUAUUGGGCGUAAAGAGCUCGUAGGCGGUUUGGUAAGUCGGUCGUGAAAGUCCGAGGCUCAACCUCGGAAUGCCGGUCGAUACUGCCAUGACUAGGGUUCGGUAGAGGAGAGUGGAAUUCUCGGUGUAGCGGUGAAAUGCGCAGAUAUCGAGAGGAACACCAGUAGCGAAGGCGGCUCUCUGGGCCGAUACCGACGCUGAGGAGCGAAAGCGUGGGGAGCAAACAGGAUUAGAUACCCUGGUAGUCCACGCCGUAAACGUUGAUCACUAGAUGUGGCGGACUCAUUGACGUCUGCCGUGUCGAAGCUAACGCAUUAAGUGAUCCGCCUGGGGAGUACGGGCGCAAGGCUAAAACUCAAAGGAAAUUGACGGGGCCCCGCACAGCGGCGGAGCAUG